AAGAUUUUAAGUUAGAAAACUAAUAGCCUUCAAAGCUUUAAUCACUUUAUUUAUGAGUAAAUCUUG
rnacentral:tRNA from 1 species